rnacentral:piRNA from 1 species
UACGGAAGGGGACGCUUUGAAGGAAC